UGAAGCCGGAGCUUGCUCUGGUGGAUUAGUGGCGAACGGGUGAGUAACACGUGAGUAACCUGCCCCUGACUCUGGGAUAAGCGCUGGAAACGGCGUCUAAUACCGGAUAUGCGCUGUAACCGCAUGGUUUGCAGCGGGAAAGAUUUAUCGGUUGGGGAUGGACUCGCGGCCUAUCAGCUUGUUGGUGAGGUAAUGGCUCACCAAGGCGUCGACGGGUAGCCGGCCUGAGAGGGUGACCGGCCACACUGGGACUGAGACACGGCCCAGACUCCUACGGGAGGCAGCAGUGGGGAAUAUUGCACAAUGGGCGCAAGCCUGAUGCAGCAACGCCGCGUGAGGGAUGACGGCCUUCGGGUUGUAAACCUCUUUUAGCAGGGAAGAAGCCUUCGGGUGACGGUACCUGCAGAAAAAGCGCCGGCUAACUACGUGCCAGCAGCCGCGGUAAUACGUAGGGCGCAAGCGUUAUCCGGAAUUAUUGGGCGUAAAGAGCUCGUAGGCGGUUUGUCACGUCUGCUGUGAAAACUGGAGGCUCAACCUCCAGCCUGCAGUGGGUACGGGCAGACUAGAGUGCGGUAGGGGAGAUUGGAAUUCCUGGUGUAGCGGUGGAAUGCGCAGAUAUCAGGAGGAACACCGAUGGCGAAGGCAGAUCUCUGGGCCGUUACUGACGCUGAGGAGCGAAAGGGUGGGGAGCAAACAGGCUUAGAUACCCUGGUAGUCCACCCCGUAAACGUUGGGAACUAGUUGUGGGGGCUUUUCUACGGUCUCCGUGACGCAGC
rnacentral:rRNA from 1 species